rnacentral:lncRNA from 1 species
UGUGCAGAAGACUGUGAUUUAUAUAUAUAUAUAUACACACACAUAUAUAUAUAUGAUAAAAAUACUGUUUUUUGUUAGACAACGUGUAAGGAUUUUUACCUGUUUGUUCUGGGCAGCACCUCAGUAAAAGUUUUGCAGAGUUGCUGCUCCAGAACUUAACAUGUUUGUAUGCACUUGCUCAUCAGGCGUUCCUGCUCUCCCUAACUCAGUAUCGAGGGCACAUGAGGCUCUGAAGAGCAAGUGAAGAGAAAAAUAAUGAUAUGUGCUGUGCACUGAACUAUAUGCAUCCUUGUACACCGAAAAGCACACCAGUUCUGGACUUCACAGCAACUGAAACAGCAGGCGAGGCUUUAUUGCCAUCCUUCUGGAAGGCUGGUUGUAAACCAGUUCACCCCCAUGGAACCUGUAUAAAACCAGUAGGAUUGGUUAUUGUCUUCUUUCCUUAUUGAUUAUUUUCUUCCUCCUUUAUGUGCACUGGUAUAUUAUUGUUUUAUGAAUGUUGGGGCUGCUGGCAGGAACUGACAUGGCUUUUCAUCCUAAUAUUUUAUGGUGUUCCUUUUUAGAUAUACUCUUGGGCAUUUAUGUAUGGUGUUUCCUUGUGUAGGUUCUAACUUCAGGGAGCUACCUGUAGAAUUCAGUGUAUGAUAAGAGUAUUUUUUCAUAUUUAAGUGGGAAAAUUAAUGCUCCCAUUAAAGACAACUAGUUGAAAGCCUAAUGAAAAGGGAACACUGUGGUUAUAACUUGUAUUGCAAAUCUUCUGUAAUUAAUGGCAACUUCAUUAGUUAAUAAAGUCGGUAUUUUUGUAACCUUGUUUAUUCUUAUUAUUCUUAAUAAAGUAUUUUAUAAAACAAACAAACAAACAACAAAAAAAAAAACAACAAAAAAAACCCACCAACAUAAUUAGCAUUAUAUUUCUUCAUGAAGAAGGUUUGGAACUGCAGUGCUAGGCUUAGAAAAAUGAGUGUCUGCCAAUGAAAAUGAGUGUCUCCCUAAUUUCAGCAAGGGAUUUUACUGUGCAGCGUAAGGAGGGCUGGUAUUUUAAAGACCUUCAUGCAUCUAAUAGGCAAGACCACACAUGAAAGAUAAAACCAA